UACGUAGGGCGCAAGCGUUGUCCGGAAUUAUUGGGCGUAAAGAGCUCGUAGGCGGCUUGUCACGUCGGGUGUGAAAGCCCGGGGCUUAACCCCGGGUCUGCAUCCGAUACGGGCAGGCUAGAGUGUGGUAGGGGAGAUCGGAAUUCCUGGUGUAGCGGUGAAAUGCGCAGAUAUCAGGAGGAACACCGGUGGCGAAGGCGGAUCUCUGGGCCAUUACUGACGCUGAGGAGCGAAAGCGUGGGGAGCGAACAGG
rnacentral:rRNA from 1 species